rnacentral:rRNA from 1 species
UGCGUAGGCGGCUCUGCAAGUCAGAAGUGAAAUCCAUGGGCUUAACCCAUGAACUGUUUUUGAAACUGUAGAGCUUGAGUGAAGUAGAGGUAGGCGGAAUUCCCGGUGUAGCGGUGAAAUGCGUAGAGAUCGGGAGGAACACCAGUGGCGAAGGCGGCCUACUGGGCUUUAACUGACGCUGAGGCACGAAAGCAUGGGUAGCAAACA